GCUGGGCAUGGUGGUGCACACCUGUAAUACUGGCAGCUUUGGAGGCUGAGAUAGGAGGAUCGUGAGUUCAAAGCCAGUCUCAGCAAUGGCGAGGUGCUAAGCAACUUAGCGAGACCCUGUCUUUA
rnacentral:sRNA from 1 species